AGAGUUUGAUCCUGGCUCAGGACGAACGCUGGCGGCGCGCUUAACACAUGCAAGUCGAGCGAGAACCAGGCCUUCGGGCCUGGGGAAAGCGGCGAACGGGUGAGUAACACGUGGGCAACCCACCCUUGGUACUGGGAUAGCCCGGGGAAACCCGGAUUAAUACCGGAUGGCCCAACAGCUCUUCGGGGCGGUUGGAAAAGGUAGCUUCGGCCUCCGACCAAGGACGGGCCCGCGGCGGAUUAGCUUGUUGGUGAGGUAACGGCUCACCAAGGCGACGAUCCGUAGCUGGUCUGAGAGGACGAUCAGCCACACUGGGACUGAGACACGGCCCAGACUCCUACGGGAGGCAGCAGUGGGGAAUCUUGCGCAAUGGGCGAAAGCCUGACGCAGCGACGCCGCGUGGGGGAAGAAGGCUUUCGGGUUGUAAACCCCUUUCAGGAGAGACGAAGCUACUCGGGUGAAUAGCCCAGAGGGUGACGGUAUCUCCAGAAGAAGCCCCGGCCAACUACGUGCCAGCAGCCGCGGUAAUAC
rnacentral:rRNA from 1 species